rnacentral:rRNA from 1 species
UUCCAGACUCCUACGGGAGGCAGCAGUGAGGAAUAUUGGUCAAUGGGCGGGAGCCUGAACCAGCCAAGUCGCGUGGGGGAAGACGGUCCUACGGAUUGUAAACCUCUUUUGCCGGGGAGCAACGGGGUCCUUGCGAGGGCCCAAUGAGAGUACCCGGAGAAAAAGCAUCGGCUAACUCCGUGCCAGCAGCCGCGGUAAUACGGAGGAUUCAAGCGUUAUCCGGAUUUAUUGGGUUUAAAGGGUGCGUAGGCGGUCGGAUAAGUUAGAGGUGAAAUCCCGAGGCUCAACUUCGGAAUUGCCUCUGAUACUGUUCGGCUAGAGAGUAGUUGCGGUAGGCGGAAUGUAUGGUGUAGCGGUGAAAUGCUUAGAGAUCAUACAGAACACCGAUUGCGAAGGCAGCUUACCAAGCUACUUCUGACGUCGAGGCACGAAAGCGUGGGGAGCAAACAGGAUUAGAUACCCCGGUAA